GCACUGGUGGUUCAGCGGUAGAAUUUUCACCUUCCACAUGGGAGACCUGGGUUCGAUUCCCGGCCAAUGCA
rnacentral:tRNA from 1 species